CUGGCGGCGUGCCUCAGACAUGCAAGUCGAACGCGAAAAUCCCCUUCGGGGGGUGAGUAGAGUGGCGCACGGGUGAGUAACACGUGGGUAAUUUACCUUCGGGUGGGGAAUAACAGUCGGAAACGACUGCUAAUACCGCAUAAUGCAGCGGCACCACAUGGUGACAGUUGUUAAAGCGGGGGAUCCUUCGGGAUCUCGCGCCUGAAGAGAAGCCUGCGGCGGAUUAGCUAGUUGGUGAGGUAAUGGCUCACCAAGGCGACGAUCCGUAGCCGGCCUGAGAGGGCGGUCGGUCACACUGACACUUGAAUACGGGUCAGACUCCUACGGGAGGCAGCAGUCGGGAAUUUUGGGCAAUGGGCGCAAGCCUGACCCAGCAACGCCGCGUGAAGGAUGAAAUCCCUCGGGAUGUAAACUUCGCAAGAACGGGAAGAAUAAGUUCUGGCUAAUACCCGGAACGAUGACGGUACUGUUUGUAAGCUCCGGCUAACUCCGUGC
rnacentral:rRNA from 1 species